rnacentral:rRNA from 1 species
GACGAACGCUGGCGGCGUGCUUAACACAUGCAAGUCGAACGGAAAGGCCCUGCUUUUGUGGGGUGCUCGAGUGGCGAACGGGUGAGUAACACGUGAGUAACCUGCCCUUGACUUUGGGAUAACUUCAGGAAACUGGGGCUAAUACCGGAUAGGAGCUCCUGCUGCAUGGUGGGGGUUGGAAAGUUUCGGCGGUUGGGGAUGGACUCGCGGCUUAUCAGCUUGUUGGUGGGGUAGUGGCUUACCAAGGCUUUGACGGGUAGCCGGCCUGAGAGGGUGACCGGCCACAUUGGGACUGAGAUACGGCCCAGACUCCUACGGGAGGCAGCAGUGGGGAAUAUUGCACAAUGGGCGGAAGCCUGAUGCAGCAACGCCGCGUGCGGGAUGACGGCCUUCGGGUUGUAAACCGCUUUCGCCUGUGACGAAGCGUGAGUGACGGUAAUGGGUAAAGAAGCACCGGCUAACUACGUGCCAGCAGCCGCGGUGAUACGUAGGGUGCGAGCGUUGUCCGGAUUUAUUGGGCGUAAAGGGCUCGUAGGUGGUUGAUCGCGUCGGAAGUGUAAUCUUGGGGCUUAACCCUGAGCGUGCUUUCGAUACGGGUUGACUUGAGGAAGGUAGGGGAGAAUGGAAUUCCUGGUGGAGCGGUGGAAUGCGCAGAUAUCAGGAGGAACACCAGUGGCGAAGGCGGUUCUCUGGGCCUUUCCUGACGCUGAGGAGCGAAAGCGUGGGGAGCGAACAGGCUUAGAUACCCUGGUAGUCCACGCUGUAAACGGUGGGUACUAGGUGUGGGGUCCAUUCCACGGGUUCCGUGCCGUAGCUAACGCUUUAAGUACCCCGCCUGGGGAGUACGGCCGCAAGGCUAAAACUCAAAGGAAUUGACGGGGCCCCGCACAAGCGGCGGAGCAUGCGGAUUAAUUCGAUGCAACGCGUAGAACCUUACCUGGGUUUGACAUGGAUCGGGAGUGCUCAGAGAUGGGUGUGCCUCUUUUGGGGUCGGUUCACAGGUGGUGCAUGGCUGUCGUCAGCUCGUGUCGUGAGAUGUUGGGUUAAGUCCCGCAACGAGCGCAACCCUUGUUCACUGUUGCCAGCACGUUAUGGUGGGGACUCAGUGGAGACCGCCGGGGUCAACUCGGAGGAAGGUGGGGAUGACGUCAAGUCAUCAUGCCCCUUAUGUCCAGGGCUUCACGCAUGCUACAAUGGCUGGUACAGAGAGUGGCGAGCCUGUGAGGGUGAGCGAAUCUCGGAAAACCGGUCUCAGUUCGGAUUGGGGUCUGCAACUCGACCUCAUGAAGUCGGAGUCGCUAGUAAUCGCAGAUCAGCAACGCUGCGGUGAAUACGUUCCCGGG